rnacentral:lncRNA from 10 species
CCGUGGGAGGGAAGGCACUCUCUGUCAAGCUGCUGUCACCUUACCUGAAGUAAGGAGUCCACGCCUGCAUGUCCGAGGAAAACAGUUUUCUCAAACACAUUAGUUGAAAAACUGAAGACGCUGCCUAAAAUACAAGCUGAGUUAGAGACAGCCCUUGUAAGACUAGGCUCAAACUGUAAUACUGGCUCUUCUCAGGUCUUGAGCCUACUUGCCUUCAGAUUGGAACUUUACCAUCUGCUCUCCUGGUUCUCAGGCCUUCAGGGGAGUCUAGAACUAUGCCACUGACUCUCCUGGUCUCCAGUUUUUCAACUUCAAAUCUUGGGAUUUAGUCUCGAUGAUCAUAAAAAGAAAUGGAAACUAAGUAACAUGAAUUAACAUAGUCCAGGGUCACAAAGCAACAUGGAACAAGAACCUGGAUCUGAAUUCAGAGGCAGAAUGCUGGAAUCUAAGCCAGAAUGAGGUUACUGCCUAGGCAAAGAAGAAGACAGCUCAUCACAGGCUCAGCCAAUUCAUUGAGGCUCUUCAUGUUACUCUGGAAUCACAAAAUGUAAGAAUAAAAGGGGUAGAAAGUC